UCGAGAAUCUUUCGCAAUGGGCGAAAGCCUGACGAUGCGACGCCGCGUGAGCGAUGAAGGUCUUCGGAUUGUAAAGCUCUGUCAUACGGGAAGAACGUCCUAUGGGUGAAUAACCCUGUGGGCUGACUGUACUGUAAGAGGAAGCCACGGCUAACUCCGUGCCAGCAGCCGCGGUAAUACGGAGGUGGCAAACGUUGUUCGGAUUUAUUGGGUGUAAAGGGUAUGUAGGCGGGCUUGUAAGUCGGAUGUGAAAUACUUUGGCUUAACCAAAGAACUGCAUUCGAAACUGCUUGUCUUGAGUUUGGGAGAGGAAAGCGGAAUUCUCGGUGUAAGGGUGAAAUCUGUAGAUAUCGAGAGGAACACCAGUGGCGAAAGCGGCUUUCUGGACCAAAACUGACGC
rnacentral:rRNA from 1 species